rnacentral:rRNA from 1 species
AUUGAACGCUGGCGGCAGGCCUAACACAUGCAAGUCGAGCGGAUGAAGGGAGCUUGCUCCUGGAUUCAGCGGCGGACGGGUGAGUAAUGCCUAGGAAUCUGCCUGGUAGUGGGGGAUAACGUCCGGAAACGGGCGCUAAUACCGCAUACGUCCUGAGGGAGAAAGUGGGGGAUCUUCGGACCUCACGCUAUCAGAUGAGCCUAGGUCGGAUUAGCUAGUUGGUGGGGUAAAGGCCUACCAAGGCGACGAUCCGUAACUGGUCUGAGAGGAUGAUCAGUCAAACUGGAACGGAGACACGGUCCAGAUUCCUACGGGAGGAAGCAGUGGGGAAUAUUGGAAAAUGGGCGAAAGCCUGAUCCAGCCAUGCCGCGUGUGUGAAGAAGGUCUUCGGAUUGUAAAGCACUUUAAGUUGGGAGGAAGGGCAGUAAGUUAAGACCUUGCUGUUUUGACGUUACCAACAGAAUAAGCACCGGCUAGCUUCGU